rnacentral:rRNA from 1 species
ACUCAAAGGAAUUGACGGGGGCCCGCACAAGCGGUGGAGCAUGUGGUUUAAUUCGACGCAACGCGAACAACCUUACCUAGGCUUGAACUGUUAGAAGUAGAACGAAUGAAAGUUUGGACGACCUGUCAAGUCAGGAACUAACAGAGGUGCUGCAUGGCUGUCGUCAGCUCGUGUCGUGAGAUGUUGGGUUAAGUCCCGCAACGAGCGCAACCCUUACCCUGUGUUGCUACGUCUAUAAUGGACAGCACUCUCAGGGAACUGCCUCGGACAACGGGGAGGAAGGUGGGGAUGACGUCAAGUCACCAUGGCCUUUAUGUCUAGGGCUACACACGUGCUACAAUGGCCGGUACAGCGAGCAGCAAAUCCGCAAGGAGGAGCAAAUCUCUAAAAGCCGGCCCCAGUUCAGAUCGUGGGCUGCAAUUCGCCCACGUGAAGGUGGAAUCGCUAGUAAUCGGGGAUCAGCUGGCCCCGGUGAAUACGUUCCCGGGCCUUGUACACACCGCCCGU